CUUACCAUGCAGUCGACGGCAGCACGGGAGCAAUCCUGGUGGCGAGUGGCGAACGGGUGAGUAAUACAUCGGAACGUGUCCUGGAGUGGGGGAUAGCCCGGCGAAAGCCGGAUUAAUACCGCAUACGCUCUGAGGAGGAAAGGGGGGGAUCUUAGGACCUCUCGCUCAAGGGGCGGCCGAUGGCAGAUUAGCUAGUUGGUGGGGUAAAGGCCUACCAAGGCGACGAUCUGUAGCUGGUCUGAGAGGACGACCAGCCACACUGGGACUGAGACACGGCCCAGACUCCUACGGGAGGCAGCAGUGGGGAAUUUUGGACAAUGGGCGCAAGCCUGAUCCAGCAAUGCCGCGUGUGUGAAGAAGGCCUUCGGGUUGUAAAGCACUUUUGUCCGGAAAGAAAACACGCCUGUUAAUACCGGGUGUGGAUGACGGUACCGGAAGAAUAAGCACCGGCUAACUACGUGCCAGCAGCCGCGGUAAUACGUAGGGUGCAAGCGUUAAUCGGAAUUACUGGGCGUAAAGCGUGCGCAGGCGGUUCGUUAAGACAGAUGUGAAAUCCCCGGGCUUAACCUGGGAACUGCAUUUGUGACUGGCGGACUCGAGUAUGGCAGAGGGGGGUAGAAUUCCACGUGUAGCAGUGAAAUGCGUAGAGAUGUGGAGGAAUACCGAUGGCGAAGGCAGCCCCCUGGGCCAAUACUGACGCUCAUGCACGAAAGCGUGGGGAGCAAACAGGAUUAGAUACCCUGGUAGUCCACGCCCUAAACGAUGUCAACUGGUUGUCGGGUCUUCAUUGACUUGGUAACGAAGCUAACGCGUGAAGUUGACCGCCUGGGGAGUACGGUCGCAAGAUUAAACCA
rnacentral:rRNA from 1 species